CCAAACUGUUGCCUCGGCGGGGUCACGCCCCGGGUGCGUCGCAGCCCCGGAACCAGGCGCCCGCCGGAGGGACCAACCAAACUCUUUCUGUAGUCCCCUCGCGGACGUUAUUUCUUACAGCUCUGAGCAAAAAUUCAAAAUGAAUCAAAACUUUCAACAACGGAUCUCUUGGUUCUGGCAUCGAUGAAGAACGCAGCGAAAUGCGAUAAGUAAUGUGAAUUGCAGAAUUCAGUGAAUCAUCGAAUCUUUGAACGCACAUUGCGCCCGCCAGUAUUCUGGCGGGCAUGCCUGUCCGAGCGUCAUUUCAACCCUCGAACCCCUCCGGGGGUCCGGCGUUGGGGAUCGGGAACCCCUAAGACGGGAUCCCGGCCCCGAAAUACAGUGGCGGUCUCGCCGCAGCCUCUCAUGCGCAGUAGUUUGCACAACUCGCACCGGGAGCGCGGCGCGUCCACGUCCGUAAAACACCCAACUUCUGAAAUGUUGACCUCGGAUCAGGUAGGAAUACCCGCUGAACUUAAGCAUAUCAAUAAGCGGAGGAA
rnacentral:rRNA from 1 species